GGCUGGUCUGAGUGAAGUGGUGUUUACAACCAAUUGAUCACAACUAGUUAUGGAUUUCUUCCUUCUCUACUCCCACUCCUUUACUUCACUAGCCUUAA
rnacentral:Y_RNA from 1 species